AUCCGGGGAACCUCGAGAACAUCGGGGGCCUCUGACCUGAUCUCGCGGGAGUAGAGAAACGUGAACAGAGGCUGCACACGCGGGCCCAGCCGCGGCGGCGGUGCAAUGGCGCCAGAAACUCUGGAAUUGAGCAGUUUUAACUGUGCCAGACACAGCUUCCAGGCUGGACUGGGCUCCAGGCGAGGAGGCCGCGCCGUCCACACGUAGCACCACGCCCGGUCAGAAGACGCCGAGCAGGAAAAAAAACCAUUACUAUUCUCGGUGCUCACACAGAGGGAGCCAAGGAAAGAGUGUGUGCAUUCCGGAGUUGACCAAGGGGCCUCAUGAGUCUUGAUACGUGUGGCUUCUGACAGACACCAUCUCGGAGUCUGGGCAGUCCUCGAUUGGUUUCUGGGUAGUC